rnacentral:rRNA from 1 species
UCGGGGAAAGUUGAGACAGGUGGUGCAUGGUUGUCGUCAGCUCGUGUCGUGAGAUGUUGGGUUAAGUCCCGCAACGAGCGCAACCCUUACCAUUAGUUGCUACGCAAGAGCACUCUAAUGGGACUGCCGUUGACAAAACGGAGGAAGGUGGGGAUGACGUCAAAUCAUCAUGCCUCUUAUGGCCUGGGCUACACACGUACUACAAUGGCUAUUAACAGAGGGAAGCAAGACAGUGAUGUGGAGCAAAUCCCCAAAAAUAGCCUCAGUUCGGAUUGUAGGCUGCAACUCGCCUACAUGAAGUUGGAAUUGCUAGUAAUCGCAGAUCAGCAUGCUGCGGUGAAUACGUUCCCGGGCCUUGUACACACCGCCCGUCACACCAUGGGAGUCGGUAACACCCGAAGCCAAUAGUCU